UAGGGGUAUAGUUUAAAGGUAGAACAACGGUCUCCAAAACCGUUGGUGUGGGUUCAAGUCCUACUACCCCUGU
rnacentral:tRNA from 1 species